GGAAAGAUGGUUGAGUGGUUUAAGGCAUAAUAUUGAAACUACUAUGUAGGAUUUUACUUACCAAGGGUUUGAAUCCUUCUCUUUCCA
rnacentral:tRNA from 1 species